rnacentral:rRNA from 1 species
CGGCACGGGUGAGUAACGCGUAGAUAACCUGUCUUCAUGUCUGGAAUAAUACGCCGAAAGGGGUACUAAUACCGGAUAUCUUGCUUUUCAUAAGUUAUGCAAGCAAAGGUGGCCUCUGCAUAUGCUACUGCAUGAAGAGGGGUCUGCGUACCAUUAGCUAGUAGGUGGGGUAAUGGCCUACCUAGGCGACGAUGGUUAGCGGGUCUGAGAGGAUGAUCCGCCACACUGGCACUGGAACACGGGCCAGACUCCUACGGGAGGCAGCAGUGAGGAAUAUUGCGCAAUGGGGGAAACCCUGACGCAGCGACGCCGCGUGAGUGAGGAAAGGCCUUCGGGUCGUAAAGCUCUGUCAAGAGGAAAGAAGUGUACAAUGGCUAAUACCUGUUGUAUUUGACGGUACCUCUAAAGGAAGCACCGGCUAACUCCGUGCCAGCAGCUGC